ensembl:lncRNA
GCUGGCUAGGGAGGUAGUGUGGGUGUAGACACUAGGCCUGUGUAGUGAGAUGCUGUGAGGAAUGGACCUUCAGCAGGCACUGUGUAGGGAAGGCUGUGAUUGACAUGGUUGAACCUUUUGGGUUUUUUGGGAAAAUGGGUUCCAUUUAGGUAUGAAAGGGGCUCAAGGCUGGUGGCUGAAGCCAGUUUGCUGGUGUUUAAGGCCAGGCAAUGAUGAAUUGUGAUUGGCUGGCAGGACGUUGUGGUGCUCCCUCAGUGAGGUGUUUGAGCUUAGUGUCCUGUUUGUGUUUGGCUCGGCUCAAAGAUGUAGGAUAGGUCCCUGGCUCAGCUCAGGUGGCUGAGCCUAGGCUGUGCCAAAAAUCAUGACUCAGGGGAUCAUGCUCCUUUCUGGACCUGUUCUCCUUUUCUUUCUCCUGGCACAGAAGAGAGGGCUUCCUCCUUCUCCAGUGUCCUAGUGUAAAAAUAAACCUAUUUUAAAUUCUUUAUUUUCUUCUCUGGAUAAAAGAGGCUGUGCUCUGAACCACAGAGACAAGCACACAGGCUGUUUUUUGUGAGACCAGGAGGAACAAACACAGUUUUGCCUCUGAGCUAGAGAGUUUCCUAGUACAGGGCACAGUCCAGAUUUUUCCACGUGCAGGCUUGAGCCCAGACAUCACCCUGACAACAUGUGGGAACAUAAAUACAAACAAAAAUAAUUUCCAGAUGAGGGAUAUAUGCAAUGUUUUCUUUUACUGGCAUUUAUACUUGCUUAUUUGGCUGGAGUUGACAAGCAACUCUGCUUGUUGCAACAGGGCAGCUGGGAGGAUGCUCAAAACAGUGAAUGAGCAGCUUGGCUGGGAGAGGGAAGCACUGGCCUUGUCCCCUCAUCCCAAGAGGCACUGGAGGAGAGCCCUGCCUGGAUGGAGCUGGCAGGCCCAGGUGGGGAAGGCCCAGGCCAGCAGGUGUGCACUCCUGUCUGUGAGGUGUAUGGUGCCUUUUCAGUGCACAAUUCUGGGUCCUGUAGAAGUGAAUCGUCUGAAUAAUAUAUGUAAUUUGAAAAAUGCUUACCUUGCACCCACCUUAAGUAAGAAAAAAUAUUACCCUGCACCCACCUUCCUCCUUGAGUUAAAGUACCUGCGGAGAAUAAUUCCAUCUACGUGUACCCUAAAGCUAGAGGCUGAUUCAGAGAAACCUACUUAGCUUUUGUCUGCUGUAGUACACAGGCUUCUGGGAGAUAAAAUGCAUCCAGAUGAGUUCCAACCAGACAACAUCGAGAAGGUGGCCACAGCACUUGCUUAAAACUGCUGCUCCAAUAUGUGAGCUGGGAUUAGGAAUGCUCUAGGCUUGUGCUUUCCUAGUUUUCCUUUUGUGUGAUUAUGAGCUUAACCCUUUGGCGUUUUUGCUGUAAUAUGUACUGUAUUGGAAUCCUUUUAAAUGUCCCAUGUGAAUGUGGAUAGAAAUGGAAAGUUCUUCAGACUGCAGUUUUUCCCCAAAUUAAAGAACCAAAUUAAACAGGUGCUGCAGACCCAUCUACUGUGGCUUUACCAACAGGGUUGGUUUUUUUUCCCCUACAGCUUGUGCUCCAAUUGUGUGACCUAACUUUGCUCACUUCUGUCUUGUGGAGGGAGAUAUUUCUCAGCCCUCACUCCAGUAAGAGGCCAUGGUUUCGGCCCUGAUUCUUCAGAUGGGAGUGUGCCUGCCCUUUCCACAUCUGUGAUACAAAACCUGCUGGUUUCUAUACUAAAAUGAAGUACAGGCCUAUGUGUUUGUAUACUUGCAGCUCGAGAGAACUGAAGGAAAAUGUCCCAGAGAGUGUGUGCUUUUUCCUUUGUAACCCUCUGAUGUGCUUUAAAUUUGUUCUUGAAAUGCAUCCACUUUACUGUGUCUGAGUGAGAGUCCUUUUUCUAGGAAAAAAGGAAACAGAACAAAAAUAAUUUAAGUUGUGAUAGCUGCUUUUGACACGGGAUGGGAUCAAUUUCUAGUGUGGCAAG